ACUGUCAUAAAAGCCAGCCCUAAACUUAACAAACUUUUCAAUUAUCCAACCCAAACGUGAAAUAAAUAACCCUCUCACUCUCUCACUCAUACCUAAACACAAAGUUAACGGAUCUUAAUAAUUCUUAAUUUUUCUCUCUCACUGAUACUCUCUCAUUCUUAAUUUUUCCCCAUUCUUAAUUUUUGUCUCACUGAUACUCUCUCAUUCUUAAUUUUUGUCUCACUGAACGGUGAAACGAUGAUGAAGGAAUGUGAUUUUCACUACGCUGCGACUGUAAUGCAUAAACCUAAGAAACGGUUAAGGGAAUUCGGUGACGCCGCUGAUUCUCACUGUUACUCACUCGCUGAU
rnacentral:lncRNA from 1 species